AGCAGCAGCAGCAGCAGCCGCCGCCGCCGCCGCCGGAAAGGGAGAGGCAGGAGAGCCCGAGACUUGGAAACCCCAAAGUGUCCGCGACCCUGCACGGCAGGCUCCCUUCCAGCUUCAUGGGCAAAGUGUGGAAACAGCAGAUGUACCCUCAGUACGCCACCUACUAUUACCCCCAGUAUCUGCAAGCCAAGCAGUCUCUGGUCCCAGCCCACCCCAUGGCCCCUCCCAGUCCCAGCACCACCAGCAGUAAUAACAACAGUAGCAGCAGUAGCAACUCAGGAUGGGAUCAGCUCAGCAAAACGAACCUCUAUAUCCGAGGACUGCCUCCCCACACCACCGACCAGGACCUGGUGAAGCUCUGUCAACCAUAUGGGAAAAUAGUCUCCACAAAGGCAAUUUUGGAUAAGACAACAAACAAAUGCAAAGGUUAUGGUUUUGUCGACUUUGACAGCCCUGCAGCAGCUCAAAAAGCUGUGUCUGCCCUGAAGGCCAGUGGGGUUCAAGCUCAAAUGGCAAAGCAACAGGAACAAGAUCCUACCAACCUCUACAUUUCUAAUUUGCCACUCUCCAUGGAUGAGCAAGAACUAGAAAAUAUGCUCAAACCAUUUGGACAAGUUAUUUCUACAAGGAUACUACGUGAUUCCAGUGGUACAAGUCGUGGUGUUGGCUUUGCUAGGAUGGAAUCAACAGAAAAAUGUGAAGCUGUUAUUGGUCAUUUUAAUGGAAAAUUUAUUAAGACACCACCAGGAGUUUCUGCCCCCACAGAACCUUUAUUGUGUAAGUUUGCUGAUGGAGGACAGAAAAAGAGACAGAACCCAAACAAAUACAUCCCUAAUGGAAGACCAUGGCAUAGAGAAGGAGAGGUGAGACUUGCUGGAAUGACACUUACUUACGACCCAACUACAGCUGCUAUACAGAAUGGAUUUUAUCCUUCACCAUACAGUAUUGCUACAAACCGAAUGAUCACUCAAACUUCUAUUACACCCUAUAUUGCAUCUCCUGUAUCUGCCUACCAGGUUUGUACCUUUAGGAUUCGUCAGCAGUAUAACCACUUGCGGACCAUGAAUCUUUGCUACAUUUUUAUGUGUCUUAAAAUUUUGAGCGUUUAUGAAAUUUGAGUCAAAUAUUAUGCAGCUUGGAUACCCAAUUUAGUAUGAGCUGCUUUGUAUUUGGCAGAGCAAUUUAUGUAUAGGAGAAUGUAAAGCAAAGGAAAAUGUUUGUCAGUGGUCAGUCCUUGGAAUCAUAGCAUUUUGGAUUGGAAUGAACCCAAACACUUCCUUCACCAAGGGGCCCUGCUUUUGGACACCAUGUGUCCCAAAAAUUGAAACUUAAGAUAAAUGCCGUUAGAUAUAAUACAGAAUAGGUGUGUACCCUUGCUUUUGUUUAUUCUUCAGCAGGAACUGAUAAAAGAACAAGUAUAAACAUGGUAAUACAUAAAGAUGUGUCUCUAGUAGGUAGCAUUAAGUGAGCAAUGCAGCUGACAUUUGAGGUAAAAAUAUAAAAGCAAAAAGGUGACUUCCUAUUUAGUUU
rnacentral:sRNA from 1 species